GCCGAAAUAGCUCAGUUGGGAGGCCAUUAGACUGAAGAUUUAAAGGUCCCUGGUUCGAUCCCGGGUUUCCGUG